rnacentral:lncRNA from 1 species
CAUGAGAGUGAAACCCUCUUGAAAGCAGCAACUACAAAUACCAUGAGAGCAGUAACUACAAAUACCAUGAGAGCAGUAACUACAAACGUUGCUGCUUUCAAAGAAAAAAUUCUAGAAAAAAAAUCAUGUAAAUUAGGGAGAGAGAAUAUCUACCUCCAAAUUCAUCAAACUAAAGCUAAUACUGAUAAAUGAUGUACCUUUUUCCUCAAAUUCAUGAGUAACAGUCUCUGAUUGCACAAAAAAAAACUAUGUGAGAAAUGAAGAAACAACUAAUUACUACUCAAAUCAGAUUAUAAUAUUCACAAAAAACUGAAAUCAAACACAACUCAGAAGGGGAAAAUUGAAAAAUUCAAAGUUCAGAAAACUUACCAAAUCAAACCCUAAUUUGUGAAACAAUAAAACAUUGGGAGAAAAAAAAAUCAAAAUUAGAAUAUGAAAUCAAAUCAUGAAAUAAGGAAGGGAUUAAGAAGCAAGUUGAAACCUUACUAUUUGAAGAAGCCACUGGAGGGGGAUGUUCUUAAAACCGGUCGGAGGAUUUGAUUGAGAAGAGAACUUAAUUUUGCAAAUAUAAACAGAAAAUUAGACAUCAAUGAGAAAGAAAGUGAUGGCGGCGAACGUGGUGGUGGUGGUGAAGAUAUCGGAGAGAAUGAGAGAGAGCUGAUGAGAGAAGAAUUGAAAUCCAUGAGAAAGAAAGUGAGUUAUGAUAUUGAGGAGAGGGAGAAUUUGAAAUUUGAAAUUGAUUCUAACCUAACAUGUAUCCAGAGUCCAGACUGAGGUUUUUGGAUUCUAGCCUGCUUCCUGCAGUAUGUGAAACCGUGAAAGGGACGGCUCAAAGGAAGGUAUUCUUGCUUCUUUGUUUUUCUGUUUGGCUU